CUGAGAUGAGAUUUUCCAUGUUUCUCAAUAAUUUUUCUAUGAAAUCGGGAGAGAGAAGCAGGAGGAGGGAGCAGAAUUAAAAAAACAUAAUAACUUGGCAGUGCUUUGCCUUCCUCUUUGUGGCCUUUUGGUAUUUGGCAAUAAUAAUUAUGGCAUUUUAGGUAGAAAAUUUUGGGGGUGAGGAGCUGGAGGAGAGCCCCAUGGACACCAGCAGGAGCAGAGAGCCCCGGGAAAGUCCCGGCUGGUCCGGCAGCGGUGGUGUGUCGGCUCGGGGACAUUUCUGGUCUGGAAACACCCAGCGGGAUGCGUGUGCAGCUCGGAGCGACUGAGAGAGGCUAAAAGCAUCUCAGCUCACUUACCAGGCUUAUUUUUUGGACAGCCUGAAUUUGUUCUGGAGGAAAAAAAAAAAAAAAAAGGAUCUUUCUGGCAAGGACUGCGCUCUCCUGGGUUUCAAGGCUGCGAGAAUUACAAUUCAUUCAGAGUUCAAGCCUUUGUUUAAGACAAUGUCCUCAGGGUUGUGAGGAAAUGACUGGAGCAUGACUCAGCCCACUGCUAAUCCUGACCCGACGUGAGGUUGAUCCCUGUGUAAAGGACGGCACGGGACCUCCCCACAGCUCUGGUUCUUGACAUUGUGUAUGUGUAUUUUAGUGGUCUACAAGGAGCUACAAAAUGCUACAAGGAGAAUUUUUUAAUUUUUAUUUUUUGUUUGGUUUUUUUUUCCCCCCAAUAUAAGAUCCUUGUAGCCAAAAGACUUUGUAGAAGCAGUUGAUACCUGGAAAGAAGAACAUCCUCUACCAGGUCAGCAGCUUGCUUACCUCAGGCAUUGCCAAGCGAUUGUCGGUUUUUAGGAGACCCCCACCACACCUAUCUCGCGCCACACAUUUCUCCCUACAUUAGCACGGGACCGUUUGUGCAGGAGGGGUCGAGCUGAGCCUGGCAGUGAUGUCCCAGAGAUGUGAAGCCCCAGCUCCCAGCAGCACCCACAGCCCCCAGUCAGGGAGCCCCUGGUGCUGCUGAGCCCCCAGCAGAGGAAUUUGGGUGUAGCGAGCUCCGUGUCUCAGCUUUCCAGGCUGGAGGUUCCUCCCCCUUUUCUUUUUAAGGAAACAUUCUGAUAUGAUAUUUUCUCCCUUUGUGGGAAAUGUCAACAUUUAUGAAAUGGGAGCAAACUGUUUAAAUUUUUUAUAGACUGAAAAGAUUAAGCUUUGGCCAGCUCCAGUCAAAAUUUCCCUGGUUCCCCGUAAGCAAAUGAAUUUGAGUGAAAAAGCGUAGUUGUCUGUAGCACUGCACGAAGAAAGCCAUCAACUUGUUCCCUGCAGUCCUACCUUGUUACUUGAGUAUGCAUAGGAAUCCGAGGUGUAUCUUUAUAGGGCUGUAUUUCCACGACCUCCAGUAUUCUUUCUCUCAUUUGCUAUUUUAUUUUGUUACCUGGAUACAGCUAUGAGUCUAGUGGCACUUUAAAAAACUAUUGCUUGUAUAUGCUCCAAUUGCAGUUCUGAUGAAGGAGAUGAGAUAAACCGGUGUUCUCAUCUAUGCGUCUCAGACACAAUAAGGACAGAUAAAGAAAUGCAAAGAGCAUUGCAAAACACUAUUUAUUACUAUUUUCAGUGGUGGUGAGUACUCCAAAUGAAUCCCUGUACAGCUGAACUUUCGCACAGUCGGUGCUGUUGGGACCUCAGCAGACCAUAGCCAUUCAGUUCACUUCUGUAUCUGAAUCCCUCAUAAAAAAAGAACACCCAGACUUAGGGUGGAAUUUGUUUUAAUCAAAUAUUUGUGUCUUAUAUGGAGGCUUUAAAAUAAUCACUGUCCAGUGGUAAGCGAUACACCACGGCGUACUGAAAAACAUUUCCAAAUUUGCUGGAAUGUGAUCACUGAGGAGUUCAUUUUCUACAAGGUCUUAAAAUACAGCCAUGUAGUAAAAAACCUUUAUUUCAUUGUCUGGCUAUUCUGCCAACUCCCUUCCUUCCUGGAAUGUUUAUUAAAUUGUUUCAUGCGGUCCGUAAAUAUAUAUAUAUAUAUAUACACACACACACAUAUAUAAACAUAUUCUUCUAUUACCUCAGAAGGCUGGGUGGGCUGCCAAUCGCAUCCUAGUUUGGGAGGAAUUGGUGCUUGUGCUAGAAUUUUAGCUACAUGCUAAGAUGUGACAAAACAAGUUUGUUCUCCCUGUGAGAGGUUUGCCCUCCCUGCUGAUGAGUGAAUCUGGAUUAGGGAGCUUGUGCCGAUCAAAAUACACUGAUCUCUCUUUUUUCUUUUCUUUCAUUAUUUUUGUUUGGGUUUGUUUUUCUUUUUUUUUAACCAAGAGCACACAAUAUUGACUCGACAAUUCCAACCCAGCUGCCUGGCAGUGUUAAUCAAUGAUCUCUGCUUGCUCACAACGUACUACCAGCGUUAGAUCAUGGUGACAAGAGCAGAACAAGCCCGGUGCAGCCUUGGCGUAAAUGAUCGCUCUCCUAGUCACUGUGAACUGCAUUCGGAGCAAAUAUUGUUUUCUGCCUCUUAGAAACAAAAUAAUAACUGCUUCUUCUUCUUCUUCUUCUCUUCUCUUCUCUUCUCUUCUCUUCUCUUCUCUUCUCUUCUCUUCUCUUCUCUUCUCUUCUCUUCUCUUCUCUUCUCUUCUCUUCUCUUCUCUUCUCUUCUCUUCUCUUCUCUUCUCUUCUCUUCUCUUCUCUUCUCUUCUCUUCUCUUCUCUUCUCUUCUCUUCUCUUCCCUUCCCUUCCCUUCCCUUCCCUUCC